GAUGAAGAACGCAGCGAAAUGCGAUAAGUAGUGUGAAUUGCAGAAUUCAGUGAAUCAUCGAAUCUUUGAACGCACAUUGCGCCCCUUGGUAUUCCAUGGGGCAUGCCUGUUCGAGCGUCAUUUGUACCUUCAAGCUUUGCUUGGUGUUGGGUGUUUGUCUCGCCUUUGCGUGUAGACUCGCCUUAAAAUAAUUGGCAGCCGGCGUAUUGAUUUCGGAGCGCAGUACAUCUCGCGCUUUGCACUCAUAACGACAGCGUCCAAAAGUACAUUUUACACUCUUGACCUCAGAUCAGGUAGGGAUACCCGCUGAACUUAAGCAUAUCAAUAAGCGGAGGA
rnacentral:misc_RNA from 1 species